CCUACGGGUGGCAGCAGUGGGGGAUAUUGCACAAUGGGGGGAACCCUGAUGCAGCGACGCCGCGUGGGUGAAGGAGCGUUUCGGCGCGUAAAGCCCUAUCGGCAGGGAAGCAGAUGACGGUACCUGGCCAAGAAGCCCCGGCUAACUACGUGCCAGCAGCCGCGGUAAUGCGUAGGGCGGAAGCGUUAUCCGGAUUUAAUGGGUGUAAAGGGGGCGCUGACGGCAAUGCAAGCCAGGAGGGAAAGCCCGGGGGCCAAACCCGGGACUGCUCUUGGAACUGGAUGGCUGGAGUGCAGGAGGGGCAGGCGGAAUGCGUAGUGUAGCGGUGAAAUGCGUAGAUAUUAGGAGGAACACCGGUGGCGAAGGCGGCCUGCUGGACUGUGACUGACGUUGAGGCCCGAAGGCGUGGGGAGCAAACAGGAUUAGAUACCCGUGUAGUC
rnacentral:rRNA from 1 species